CGAAAUGCUGAUUCGAGAUGUCGAAUCGUUAUAGUUUUAAGCUCAUUAUGACUUUGUCUCGGUCGAUCUCUUUGAGUCGCGACCGUUUGCCAUUUUGAGUUUUAAUUGUUAGUCAAGAGUUUUCGACUUUGACGGUUCCAAGUCGAUCCUAACGUAAUUUUCAAGCGUUUGGUCGGUCGGACCUUACUUAGUCAAUUAUAGGAUGAAUUGGAGUCAUUGUCU
rnacentral:lncRNA from 1 species